CAGUCGCCGCGGUAAGACAGAGGAUGCAAGCGUUAUCCGGAAUGAUUGGGCGUAAAGCGUCUGUAGGUGGUGGUUUAAGUCCGUUGUGAAAGCCCUGGGCUCAACCUGGGAAUUGCAGUGGAUACUGGGUCACUAGAGUGUGGUAGAGGAUAGUGGAAUUUCCGGUGUAGCAGUGAAAUGCGUAGAGAUCGGAAGGAACAUCUGUGGCGAAGGCGACUAUCUGGGCCAACACUGACACUGAGGCACGAAAGCGUGGGGAGCAAACAGGAUUAGAUACCCGUGUAGUCCCUGUCUCUUAUAC
rnacentral:rRNA from 1 species